AAACUUUCAACAACGGAUCUCUUGGUUCUCGCAUCGAUGAAGAGCGCAGCGAAAUGCGAUACCUAGUGUGAAUUGCAGCCAUCGUGAAUCAUCGAGUUCUUGAACGCACAUUGCGCCCGCUGGUAUUCCGGCGGGCAUGCCUGUCUAAGCGUCGUUU
rnacentral:rRNA from 1 species